UGGGAGGCAGCUGUGGGCAGAUGACUCCUAUGCGCUGGCAGCUCUCUGCAGUUUCCAAAGCCCUGUCUCAUCCAGUAGCGCUGAUGGGCUUCUCUGAGCCUCAGUUUCCUCUGUAAAAUGGAGAGAAAACACUGAUGCCUGCUCCCCCGCCCACCCUCACAGGGCACUCUUUGCCUGCUAAAGCCCUGUGGACAGCUCCCGGAGGGCUGAGAAGGCUCCUCGGUCACCUCCCUGUCUGCGGGCGUGGGGAAGGCUCCUGAACACAGCAAUGAAUGAGUCAGAUCCAACUUCCCACUCAGUGAUCACCUGUUAACAUGCUAUGGAACUAAUGUUUGGAAAACUCAGACCCAAAUCCUUUGCAUCCCCUUUUUUCCUGAUUACUAAAACACUGCAGUUUCCGCGUUCAUCGUAAGAAAUCUGGAAAACAUAAUAAGGAAUAGGAAAGAUUGUUUAGAUCUUUCAAUAUCUCGUCACCCGGAAGGAAGCACUCUUACCAUUUUGGUUUAUUUUUUUCCAG
rnacentral:lncRNA from 1 species